rnacentral:rRNA from 1 species
UGGGGAAUAUUGGACAAUGGGCGCAAGCCUGAUCCAGCCAUGCCGCGUGAGUGAUGAAGGCCUUAGGGUUGUAAAGCUCUUUCGCCGACGAAGAUAAUGACGGUAGUCGGAGAAGAAGCCCCGGCUAACUUCGUGCCAGCAGCCGCGGUAAUACGAAGGGGGCUAGCGUUGUUCGGAAUCACUGGGCGUAAAGCGCACGUAGGCGGAUUGUUAAGUCAGGGGUGAAAGCCUGGAGCUCAACUCCAGAACUGCCCUUGAUACUGGCAAUCUCGAGUCCGGAAGAGGUAAGUGGAACUGCGAGUGUAGAGGUGAAAUUCGUAGAUAUUCGCAAGAACACCAGUGGCGAAGGCGGCUUACUGGUCCGGUACUGACGCUGAGGUGCGAAAGCGUGGGGAGCAAAACAGGAUUAGAUACCCUGGUAGUCCACGCCGUAAAACGAUGGAGGCUAGCCGUUGGCGAGCAUGCUCGUCAGUGGCGCAGCUAACGCAUUAAGCCUCCCGCCCUGGGGGAGUACGGUCGCAAGAUUAAAACUCAAAUGAA